rnacentral:tRNA from 1 species
UGAUGGGUCGUCUAACGGUAGGACAACAGGUUCUGGCCCUGUAAAUCGAGGUUCGAUUCCUUGCCCAUCAGCCA